rnacentral:rRNA from 1 species
AGAGUUUGAUCCUGGCUCAGGAUGAACGCUGGCGGCAUGCCUAAGACAUGCAAGUCGAACGAGAUGGCCCAGUGAAGGUUGAGUGCUUGCACAAGACUGAAUCUGGAUUCCCAUCUAGUGGCAGACGGGUGAGUAACACGUGGGUGACCUACCUUUUCGUUGGGGAUAACAGUUGGAAACGAUUGCUAAUACCGAAUAAAAUGUAAGAGUCAAUUUUACAUUGAAAGGAGCCUUUAAAGCUUCGCGAUUAGAUGGGCCUGCGGCGUAUUAACUAGUUGGUGAGGUAAUGGCUUACCAAGGUGACGAUGCGUAGCCGAACUGAGAGGUUGAUCGGCCACAUUGGGACUGAGACACGGCCCAAACUCCUACGGGAGACAGCAGUUAGGAAUAUUCGUCAAUGGAGGAAACUCUGAACGAGCAAUGCCGCGUGAGUGAUGAAGGUCUUAUAGAUUGUAAAACUCUGUUGUAUGGAAAAAACGACUAGGUUAGGAAAUGAACUUAGUGUGAUGGUACCAUACCAGAAAGCCCCGGCUAACUACGUGCCAGCAGCCGCGGUAAUACGUAGGGGGCGAGCGUUAUCCGGAUUUAUUGGGCGUAAAGCGUGUGUAGGCGGUUUAUUAAGUUUAAGAUUAAAGCCCGGGGCUCAACUCCGGUAAGUCUUAAAAACUGGUAGACUUGAGUACGGUAGAGGCAAACGGAAUUUCUAGUGUAGCGGUGAAAUGCGUAGAUAUUAGAAGGAACACCAGUGGCGAAAGCGGUUUGCUGGGUCGUUACUGACGCUGAGGCACGAAAGCGUGGGGAGCAAAUAGGAUUAGAUACCCUAGUAGUCCACGCC